rnacentral:lncRNA from 1 species
UUGGGGCCCUUUAUAACUUGCUGUUCUGUGUGAGCCAAGGCUCUAUGUUGAAAACCUUUCUUUUACCUAAAAUGGUUUUUCUUUUAGAAAUUGUGACUGGGAUGAAAAAUUGUCUCAUUGACACUCAUACAACAUCUUAUAUCUAUUGGCUUAUCACUAUAAGGAAUGUAUGAUCCAAAAUGUACACAGGCUUUGGUAAUUUAACUGGAGUGAUUAGUUUCAAUUCUUUUUUAAAACACUUGGGUCACUGGUUUCCAGUAUAUGAUGUAGAUUUUUAUAAAUGAGAUGCAAAAAAGAUAUCAUUUAUUUAUUUGAUCUUUAGUCUGUAUAGCUACAUGUUCUUUGCAAGUAUAGAAUAAUAGAGUAUUACAUUGUUAUUAUGAAUUAAUAUAACGAAAAUUGUAACUGACGGCUUAUCACAACAAUACAUUCUUUUAACCAAACCCAGUAUUUUUUUUACUCUCAUCAGUGAAUGUAAACAACACAUGUAUGAACAAUAAUAGCAAAGCCUUUUACAAGAUACAAUGUUUUAUAAAGUAUGAAUCCAGAAAGCGGGCACACUUGGAAUGUACUCUCUAACAAUUAUUUCAAACAACAUUUAAAAUUGUCAAAAUCGUUAAUUGUGAAGUAUCGUGUCGAGAAUCUGGAAAAUUUCUGGGAGAAGAAUGUCGGGUGUGCCA